rnacentral:lncRNA from 1 species
UCGACCUGCCAUGAUCAGGAUUUCUCAUGUGCAAGUUCAGCAAGAACCUUUCGAAAAAUUUGUGUUUUUGAUAAAACAUCUCGUAGAGGAGUAAUUUUCAAAGGUUCAUUAUAAGUGAAAAAUGUGGCCGUUGAUACUUGACUAGUCGUUGGUUUUUGUUUGUUCGUGGCCCUUUCACUCUUUUUAGGAUUAGUGAACUUUACAAGAAUUUAUGGUCAGUAUAGUUCCUAUCAUUCCUGGAGCCAUUGGAAGUCUUGACCCGAUUAGACCAUUCGUAGAUUAGAAUUUCUUUUGUGGAACCCGGAAGAGACUCGUCUCACCGGAAUAAUUUUUGAUCGUGUCAGUGGAAAACCCUUCUGAGCUCGGAGGGUUUUAAUUUUUACUACCUGGACUCUGAGACCUGGAAGAUACAUUUUUAUUUUUACUGGGAUUCUGCCUGGACUCUGAGAACUGGAAGAAACUUUUAUAUUUCUUACUUGGAUACUGCUUGGACUCUGAUGCUGGGACUCUGACGCUUGAAAUAUACGCAAGUACCUGAAACAUAAGAAAAGGAUUAAUUAUUUUUUCAAUUAUUUCCCUCAAGUGUAACUCACUUUUUAAUAUGUACAGUGGAAAUUAAGUAGAUAUUUCACUCGUUUGGUUUCUUUAAUAUUGCGUCUGCGCUCUGGGCCCAUAGCAUAUGACUUCAGAUAUCUUAUAGAAUUUUGAGGUUACGUACCUGCGGCUUAACUUCCUGCUUUUUGCUUACUUUGUUUGGAAAAAAAAGAUAAACAUAUUGUCUGUCAUAAACGUAGCUGAAGGUGAUUUCAGUGAGGUUUAAAUAUUUUUUUGUUAUCUCACGGUUGAAACUGUGAAAAUAAUAAUUGUUACAAUAACGUUCAGCUGUCCUAUACAUAAUAUAACCCUUGGCAUUGAUUUUUCCCUCAAUAACUUUAAUGUUCUAUUAGAGUAAUACUCAAUUACUAUAUAACUAUACUCGAUUAUAUUUUUUUUUCCUCUUGUUGAUUAGAAAUUCAGGUUACAUUGUUUGAAUAAUUGUUGGUAUCGAUAAUCAAUAUAGGACUCAUUGGAUUGGGGCUUGUCAGUUUCAUUUCAUUUCUUUUGGUAAGUUGAGGAAAUGAUUAGAGCGUAACUGUGGAUACUUUGGCAUCUCAAUUUACCUGGCGCCCAAAAAAAAAUUACUUCGACGUACUCACUCUUUCUCCUAUGUAGUGAACAGGUACGUUCUGACUGUCAUCGUGACAGCCCACCAAUUGUGACGCGCAGUGAAGCGGUUACAACUAUGCUGGUUCACACGAAAGCUUGGGAAAAGUUAUGCAUGAAAUUGGAUUUCGUCGGAGGAAAACGAAAAAUAAUCGAAAAUUAUUACUGGGAAAGCCAGAUAUCGUUAAGUUAUGAACACAUUUUUUGUGAUUUAUGACAAUCUUAUUGACUCACCCUGUAUAAAAAUGUUUGGGAGAGGUAUUGUAAUGUCUCAACAACCGCCGUCAAAAAAAUACCUCAGAAGAGAUAAGUUCCACGAAUCAAAUGAAAAUGACCCUAACAGGAGAAUGCAAUUUUGUGGGUUGAUAAAAAUCCAGUUUUCAACAGAAUAGUGCGUUGAUAGGCUUUUAGGAGAUUGAUUGGAUUAGACACACCCAGGCAUGCUUUCUCCUUCACCGGAUUUGACUCCUCUCGAUACUGUUCUUUGAGGCUUUAUCGAAUAGGGAGUUCAUGUUAUGCAACUGGAACGAAAUGGGAACUUAGAAAAUGAUAACCGAAAUUCGUGCUAGCAUUACUCCAGAAACAAUGCAAAAUGUUUGAAAUGAAUUCAAGAAUAGAAGACUGUUACACUAUCAGGCCUCAGGCAGUGCAGGCAUACAGUAUCAUGGGCAUGAGGACGGUUUUGAUCAUUAGCAACUUCAGUUUCAACCCCAUGUUGCUUCUGCGUCCUAUGAUAGGUGCCAGUCGUUGUCUGGCGUGUCUAGCCAUUCCAAUUCUCUGCCGUACAUGAGACUGAAAUGUUAAUCUCCUGUCUAGGAUGACCCCCAAGUAUGUCGCUUUGUUAGUCCACGGAAUCUCUUGUCCGUUGAAGGUGACGUUGCCUUCCGGUUGUACGAACCUGCGGGUGAACAGUAUUGCCUGACUCUUGUCAGGGUUUAUACUGAUCUUCCAUAGCCCACUCCUCUAAUGGCCCACUCCUCUAAUCUGUCUGCCUGUUGCUGCAAGUAUCUUGUAACAUGCGCUUGGCUAGUGGAUCUCGCCAGCAGGGCCGUGUCGUCUGCGUAGAGCGCCAACUUGUUGAAGUU